GAUGAACGCUGGCGGUAUGCUUAACACAUGCAAGUCGAACGGACUCUUCGGAGUUAGUGGCGGACGGGUGAGUAACGCGUGAGAAUCUGGCUUUGGGUUCGGGACAACCACUGGAAACGGUGGCUAAUACCGGAUGUGCCGAGAGGUAAAAGAGAAAUUGCCUGAAGAUGAGCUCGCGUCUGAUUAGCUAGUUGGUGAGGUAAAGGCUCACCAAGGCAGCGAUCAGUAGCUGGUCUGAGGGGAUGACCAGCCACACUGGGACUGAGACACGGCCCAGACUCCUACGGGAGGCAGCAGUGGGGAAUUUUCCGCAAUGGGCGAAAGCCUGACGGAGCAGUACCGCGUGAGGGAAGAAGGCUCUUGGGUUGUAAACCUCUUUUCUUAGGGAAGAACAAAAUGACGGUACCUAAGGAAUAAGCAUCGGCUAACUACGUG
rnacentral:rRNA from 1 species